rnacentral:rRNA from 1 species
AUUGAACGCUGGCGGCAUGCCUUACACAUGCAAGUCGAACGGCAGCACGGGUGCUUGCACCUGGUGGCGAGUGGCGAACGGGUGAGUAAUACAUCGGAACAUGUCCUGUAGUGGGGGAUAGCCCGGCGAAAGCCGGAUUAAUACCGCAUACGAUCUACGGAUGAAAGCGGGGGACCUUCGGGCCUCGCGCUAUAGGGUUGGCCGAUGGCUGAUUAGCUAGUUGGUGGGGUAAAGGCCUACCAAGGCGACGAUCAGUAGCUGGUCUGAGAGGACGACCAGCCACACUGGGACUGAGACACGGCCCAGACUCCUACGGGAGGCAGCAGUGGGGAAUCUUGGACAAUGGGCGAAAGCCUGAUCCAGCAAUGCCGCGUGUGUGAAGAAGGCCUUCGGGUUGUAAAGCACUUUUGUCCGGAAAGAAAUCCUUGGCUCUAAUACAGUCGGGGGAUGACGGUACCGGAAGAAUAAGCACCGGCUAACUACGUG